rnacentral:rRNA from 1 species
UAGGGAAUCUUCGGCAAUGGACGAAAGUCUGACCGAGCAACGCCGCGUGAGUGAAGAAGGUUUUCGGAUCGUAAAACUCUGUUGUUAGAGAAGAACAAGGACGUUAGUAACUGAACGUCCCCUGACGGUAUCUAACCAGAAAGCCACGGCUAACUACGUGCCAGCAGCCGCGGUAAUACGUAGGUGGCAAGCGUUGUCCGGAUUUAUUGGGCGUAAAGCGAGCGCAGGCGGUUUCUUAAGUCUGAUGUGAAAGCCCCCGGCUCAACCGGGGAGGGUCAUUGGAAACUGGGAGACUUGAGUGCAGAAGAGGAGAGUGGAAUUCCAUGUGUAGCGGUGAAAUGCGUAGAUAUAUGAAGGAACACCAGUAGCGAAGGCGGCUCUCUGGUCUGUAACUGACGCUGAGGCUCGAAAGCGUGGGGAGCAAACAGG